CGUGACUGAGGUUUAGAAUCUACGAUAGUCACUACGUGGCUGAAGAGAAGUCUGAGACCUCCUCUUGGAUAACUAUGUGGCUCCCACAAAGGGAGAAGGGGAGAAAAAAUGAAAGAAGGAAAUAAAAUGCGUUAUCAAGCGGACGUAAACUUGAGACUUUCUGGAAUGCAAACCACAGGAAGGAUCAUUGUCUGGGACUUCACAGCAACUAUCACAAAGUUCUAAUGGAUAAACGUGUAAGACCAUAAAUGUUUGUGCCAGAAGUGAUAUGAAGCCAAACAGUCCUGUGGUUUUCAACCCCGGAGCAGUGGUCAGGAUAGAACAAGUUUGUGAAGGCCAUAUGCUGGUGUAAAAAGAACAAAGAAGAAUGCUGUAGACAGAAGAGAAAAGUUCAUUCCUGGGGUCCUCUCUUUAUUCAUGCAGUGAUAGUGGACAUCUCAUUUAAUGUCUGACCCUUUCAAUUCUUCACUUAUAAAAUGUGAUAAUGAAAAUAUCAAUCUUACAUAUAAAAAAGGGGGGCAAAAAAUCCAAAUGCUUUAAAUGUAUUCUGCUCUUGGAAAUAGAGUCAGAGAUUCUCAUACAACUCCUUAAGGAUCAUGUGCAUGUUAUUGACUUCAGCAUUAUUCAGAGUGAAGUUACUAGGGUCCUCUGGGUGCACAUCACUGGGAGAGCGUGUAGAGAAAACACACACUGCAUGGUGGCUACAGGAACAGGACUAGAUGCAUGUGUAUACAGCAGCAUGUCUGGAUCUUAAAACAUGGUCCUGAGUAAAAAAAAAAAAACUUAAAAUAGAUUAAAAUAGAUAGAAUAUCAUUCAUGUAAAUAAAAUAUAUACUAAAGUAUGCAUUUUGCAAGAAUGAGGACCAAAAGAACACACAUUUAAUGUGUUGCACAUGCUACCCAUGGGAAGGUGAAAUGGGAAUGAGGAAUGGAAACAAAAUGGAAAAAAAAUUUUAAAAUCAAAGAGGGUCUUCUUAUAGCCAGUGAUGAAAAUGUGCCACAAACUGGGAGAUCUGCACCUGGUGUUUGAAAGUGACAUCAAUUAUUAUAUAUAAAUUCUAUUCACUGAGAAGAUAUGUGUUGCCGCUCACUCCAAACUCUUCAUCUCUUCCUUUCUGUGCUUCAUUGAAGGGUUUUCCUUCCUCUUAAUCUUAUUCAACUAUUGCAUUUCCUGAUUAAAGAUAGGAAUAACUCAUUUAUAUUGUUUUGAAUCCCAUUGUCUUAUUCCCUCUAACACUAUUCUCUUUUAGAUAGAAAGUACUGCUUACAACAAAAUGCUUUCCCCUGCAGGGUGGAAUUUAAGACCAAGCAAUAGGUGAAGUAAUUCAGAGCGUGCAAUGUGCUUCACUGAAGCCAGGUCAAAGGCAUUAAAGAAAUAUCAGAUAUUAUCAGAAAUAAGUGUGAAUUGAAAAUUUGGAUAGUAUCUCAUAUGCUUACAGAAUGCAUAUCAUAAGUGACUGAUUAUUCUCUAUCUCUUUGAAAGUUGCCUUUAAUUGGAAGUUUUCAGGUCAA